rnacentral:lncRNA from 1 species
AACUCCUGGCCAGGCCCUGUCCUCCCCACGUACCCCUGCAUCCCCAGCCUCGACCCAGGGACAUGCAGGGCUCACAGGAGACAGGGCUCAGGCUGCCGGAGCUCCAACCAAACUCUGUCCCACUUCACGCACGGACUGUCCUGGGCAAAGGUGUUCACCUUUCCGAGCCUCGGUUUCCUUAUCUGUAAAGCAAAGCGACACCAGCAAGCCUGUGAGCAUUGUGUAUAUAGCAGACAUGGAGGUCCUGCAGCAGGAGGUGCUCAAUAAACACAAAGCGACUGAAGGAUGGGACCAGCAAGCCUGUGAGCAUUGUGUAUGUAGCAGACAUGGAGGUCCUGCAGCAGGAGGUGCUCAAUAAACACAAAGCGACUGAAGGAUGGGAUGUGCGAGAAUCCCAGUGGUGUGCACCCAGGCCGCGACACAUGGUGGUGUGCAUGACCAACUGCCCAACUCUCAUUGUCAUGGUGGGCCUGCCCGCCAGGGGCAAGACCUACAUCUCCAAGAAGCUGACUCGAUACCUGAACUGGAUUGGUGUGCCCACUCGGGAGUUCAAUGUUGGCCAGUAUCGCCGGGACGUGGUCAAGACCUACAAAUCUUUUGAAUUUUUUCUCCCCGACAAUGAAGAGGGCCUGAAAAUCAGGAA